UAGCAACUUGAUUGGCCGGAAAAGGUGUGAGUGAUUGCUUUCCAAAUAAAUGAUUGUCUUGGUGAAAAAGGAAUUAUAAUGAUACUCUGCAGUGUCUUGUUCUUUAUUUCGAAGGUGGAAAAAGCGAGAAUUAAGGAAUCGUAAUCCCACGCAACAUGAAGGGUUCUACCGCCGUAGUUAUCGUGUCUGCCAUGCUGCUCUGUCACGCAGGUCUGAGUGCUGGCAUCGCUUGCUACUCCUGUCCCACGUUGUCCCAUAACUGCUAUCAACAGAAGAAAAUCGUUGAUUGCGGCUCAAGCCGGUGCAGUAAGAUCGCAGCCCCCGACGGCAGAUUCCAGCUGGGGUGCCAAAGUAGCUUUAUCUGCGACUACUUUCCUUCAAUCAAUGGCUACCAACUAACAUGCUGUCGGUCGCAUCUUUGUAUGACUAACUGAUAAUUGCCAUGUCAAAUCUAACAAUAAAAGUCGCUCAUGUA